ensembl:snRNA U1 U1 spliceosomal RNA
AUACUUACCUGGCAGGGGAGAUACCAUGAUCACGAAGGUGAUUUUCCCAGGGCGAGGCUUAUCCAUUGCACUCCGGAUGUGCUGACCCCUGCGAUUUCCCCAAAUGUGGGAAACACGACUGCAUAAUUUGUGGUAGUGGGGGACUGUGUUCGCGCUCUCCCCUG